AGCGUCGGGCUACCAUGCAGUCGAGCGAGGCCCUUCCUUCGGGGGGGUGUUCUAGCGGCGAACGGCUGAGUAACACGUGGGCAACCUGCCCUCAGCUCUGGGAUAACUCCAAGAAAUUGGGGCUAAUACCGGAUAUGACCGCUGACCGCAUGGUCUGGUGGUGGAAAGAUUUAUCGGCUGGGGAUGGGCCCGCGGCCUAUCAGCUUGUUGGUGGGGUAGUGGCCUACCAAGGCGACGACGGGUAGCCGGCCUGAGAGGGUGACCGGCCACACUGGGACUGAGACACGGCCCAGACUCCUACGGGAGGCAGCAGUGGGGAAUAUUGCGCAAUGGGCGGAAGCCUGACGCAGCGACGCCGCGUGGGGGAUGACGGCCUUCGGGUUGUAAACCUCUUUCAGCAGGGACGAAGCCGUGAGGUGACGGUACCUGCAGAAGAAGCACCGGCCAACUACGUGCCAGCAGCCGCGGUAAUACGUAGGGUGCAAGCGUUGUCCGGAAUUAUUGGGCGUAAAGAGCUCGUAGGCGGUCUGUCACGUCGGCUGUGAAAUCCCGAGGCUCAACCUCGGGUCUGCAGUCGAUACGGGCAAACUAGAGUAUUGCAGGGGAGACUGGAAUUCCUGGUGUAGCGGUGAAAUGCGCAGAUAUCAGGAGGAACACCGGUGGCGAAGGCGGGUCUCUGGGCAAUAACUGACGCUGAGGAGCGAAAGCGUGGGGAGCGAACAGGAUUAGAUACCCUGGUAGUCCACGCCGUAAACGUUGGGCGCUAGGUGUGGGGCUCAUUCCACGAGUUCCGUGCCGCAGCUAACGCAUUAAGCGCCCCCCCUGGGGAGUACGGGCGCAAGGCUAAAACUCA
rnacentral:rRNA from 1 species